rnacentral:rRNA from 1 species
UUUAGGACAAAGCGGUGGAGCAUGUGGUUUAAUUAGAUGCAACGCGAAUAUCCUUACCUGUUCUUGACAUCCACGGAACUUUUCAGAGAUGGAUUGGUCUCUUCGGGAACUGUGAGACAGGUGCUGCAUGGCUGUCGUCAGCUCGUGUUGUGAAAUGUUGGGUUAAGUCCCGCAACGAGCGCAACCCUUAUCCUUUGUUGCCAGCGGUCCGGCCGGGAACUCAAAGGAGACUGCCAGUGAUAAACUGGAGGAAGGUGGGGAUGACGUCAAGUCAUCAUGGCCCUUACGACCAGGGCUACACACGUGCUACAAUGGCGCAUACAAAGAGAAGCGACCUCGCGAGAGCAAGCGGACCUCAUAAAGUGCGUCGUAGUCCGGAUUGGAGUCUGCAACUCGACUCCAUGAAGUCGGAAUCGCUAGUAAUCGUGGAUCAGAAUGCCACGGAUUUUCC